CGUUUCAUUUUUCGAAAAUCUGACUUCAUAUUCUUGUUUAGGGGGUCAAAUUGAGUGGAAAAUGGGUCUAACCCAAAUUUUAGAGCAACCGUAUCAAAAUCCGAAAUUUCCAAGUGAAGCCUUUUUCGAGGGUCUACUUUGGAGGGUCAUAUCUCCUAGCACACAAAUUAUUUGGCUGGCCAAUAAUAUAUCCAUGGAAAGCCCUUUGAGUUAGCUACCUAACGCACUUCGUUUCAUCUCAUUCGGAGUUCGGACGAAGAAGUUAU
rnacentral:lncRNA from 1 species